UCAAUCCUAAUCUCCACAAGCAGUUUGAGUACACAACCUUAGACAAUAAUGUCAAUUUUCUUUAACUAAAAUUAUGUAUUUCUAUGGCAUUUUUUUUUUUGCAUUUCAGUAAUACCUUUAUAUUAAGAUCUCAAUCAUAAUAAAAUAUAAAACUCUCAUUAAUAUUUUUUAUUAUGUAAUAAAAAAUAUCAAAUAAUUGAUGAGAGUACUAUAUUUUUUUUUGGUAUUUUUUUUUUACUAACACUCGUGCAUUAAGAUUUCAAUCAUGAUAAAAUACAGUCUAUCAGUUAUCAUAAUAUUUUGUCACAAUAUUUUAUUAGAUAAUUGAUGAUAUGACAAAAUAUCAAGAUAAUCGAUGAUGGUAAAAUAUCAUGAUAAUUAAUAGGAGUAUUGUAAUUUAUCAUAAGAAUUUUCUUUAACCAAGAUUUUAUAUUUUGCUAUAAUGCAUUGUAUAAUUUUUUUUGUAUAUUUCUUUUGGUGUCUAUAGUUUUUAUUUGUUAUAAAUUUAGUUAGAUUGAUAAAUACAUUUAAUUGUACCAUUAUAUUUAGAGUUUAAUUUUGAUGCACUGACAAUGUAAAAUAUUUUAUACAGUCGUGCAAUCAUAUAACUCCGCCAAUAUUACACCUGCAGUACAUAGCCGGUCCAAAGCCCAGAUAAAGGAGAAGGGUUGUGUUAGGCCUUUGACAGCUAACAUAAAAACUUAGUCGAAUCUUCAUGACAUGGAUCAGAGACGUUAUUGCGCUUAAGUUAAGUCGUUUCCCAAAAGCAACGCGCUUUAUGGCUCGCGUACACACAGUGUCAAAUGAACAAGAGCCGCUGCAUCAAUGCCCGGGUGUAAUGUUAAAUCAGCAAGGGUAACCGCGUUUUUGUGAACGAACGAGGGUAAAUAAGCUAGUUCACAAAGAAAAAGGUAAAGAUAAAGGUCGGAACGACAGAAGGUUGAGAUUUGGGAUAUGGAACAAAGGCACUCUAACAAGAAAAUCUAUAGAGGUGGUGGAUACCAUGACAAAGAGGAAGAUUAACAUCAUGUGCCUACAAGAAACAAAAUAGGUCGGUGCGAAGGCUAGGGAAUUGGAUAUUUCCGGGUUCAAACUUUAGUAUACAGGAAAUGUGAAGAAUAGGAAUGAGGUAGGUAUUAUCGUGAAUAAACAGUGGAAGAAGGACGUAGUGGAUGUCAAAAGGGUGGAAGAUCAGAUCAUCUCUAUCAAACUUGUAGUGGAAAGAGGUACUUUUCAUGUAAUUAGCGCCUAUGCACCGCAAGUAGGUUCAAACGAGCAAACACAAGAUAAGAUUUUGGGAGGAUUUAGAGAAUUUGGUCCAAAAAUUACCUUCGCAAAAUAAGAUUUUCUUAGGAGAAGAUUUAAAUGGCCAUAUUGGAAGAGAAAUGACUGGGUAUGGAAGUAUUCACGGAGGCCAUGGUUUCGAGGUGGUCAAUAUCGAGGGUAAAACUAGUUUGGACUUUUCCUCAACAUUUGACCUUCUCAUCACAAAUACAUGUUUUAAAAAGAGAGACGAACAUCUUAUAACAUAUAGGAGUGGCAUGACAAACUCUCAAAUCGACUUCUUCUUGUUGAGAAAAGUCGACCGGAAAUUUUGCAUUAAUUGUAAACUUAUUCCGAGAGAGAGUUUAACAACACAACAUAGGAUGUUCAUCAUAGAUUUUCGCGUUGAGCAAAAGUUAAGGAAAAGACAUCAUACGAAAAACCCAAGGACAAGGUGGUAGCGGAUGAAAAGUAAAGAACAAAGAAGCUUUCUAAAACGGGUAGGAGAAGAGACAAAGUGGGAUGAGGAUGGAAGCACGGAAGAGAUGUAGAGGGAGAUGACCAAGAACAAAAGAAAGUUUUAGUAAAUCUAGAGGAAUAGGACCAAGAGACAAAGCGUCCUGGUGGUGGAACGCAAGUGUACAAGAAAAGUUAAAGACAAAAGGAAGUGCUUUAAGGAAUGGUCUUUGUACCGCAAUGCAGAUAAUUGCGAAAAAUAUAAGGCGACUAAAAAAGAGACAAAAAUAGCGGUAAGUGAAGCUAGAACAAGAGCAUAUGAAAGUCUCUACCAGUCUUUAGGCACGUAGGAAUGAGAAAAGGUAUAUAUAGAAUCAGAAAGAGCCAUGAUAGAAGAACGAGAGAUUUGGAUCAGGUUAAGUGUAUAAAGGAUAAAGACGGAGAUGUUUUGGCUUAAGAGGAGAAGAUCAACGAAAGGUAGAAGAACUACUUCUACGAGUUAUUUAAUGAAGAACAUAAGACUCUUCCGAGCCUUGAUUGGUUAUGUACGAGGGAAGAAGAUCAAAACUUCGACUAAUCUCAAAGGAUUCGAGACUUCGAGAUAAAAGUUGUUCUAAAACGGAAGUAAAAUGACACGACAGUAUAACCCGAUAAUAUAUUCCAAUUGAAGUUUGGAAGAGUCUUGGAGAGAAAGACAUCAGUUGGUUAACCAAAUUUUUUAUUGAGAUUUUAAGGUCAAAAAAAGAUGCCAGAUAAGUGGAGAAAGAAUACUUUGGUAUCUAUCUACAAGAAUAAGAGAUAUACAAAGUUGCAAAAAUUAUAGAGGGAUCAAGCUCAUAAGUCAUACCAUGAAGUUAUGGAAAAAGAUGAUAGAAUGGAGGUUGAGACAAGAGACACAAGUAACAGAGAACCAAUUUGGUUUUGUGCCAAACAGAUCCACUACUGAAAUAAUAUACCUGUUAAGAAUGAUGAUGAAGAGGUAUUGUAGUAAUAAAAAAAAUCUAUAUAUAGUGUUUAUUGAUUUGGAAAAACGUAUGAUAGGGUGCCAAGAAAUGUCUUAUGGAAGGUUUUGGAAAAGAAGAGAAUAAAAAUCGCAUAUAUUCGUACAAUUAAAGACAUGUAUGAUAGGGCUACAACUAGUGUAAAGACUCAAGAUGGUGUGACAAAAAAAUUUUCUAUUAGUAUAGGAUUACACCAAGGAUCAUCCUUAAGUCCAUACAUUUUCACAUUAGUCUUGGCAGUACUCACAGAGCAUAUCCAAGAGCUUGUGCUAUGGUGCAUGCUUUUUGCCGAUGAUAUCGUCCUUAUGGGAGAGUCAAGAGAAAACCUAAAUAAGAAGUUAGAUUUAUGGAGAGAAGUUCUAGAAGUGUAUAGUCUGCGCAUAAGCCGUAGAAAGACGGAAUAUAUGGAAUGUAAGUUCGGCCGCCAAAGUUAAAAAUUUUAAGUAUCUUGGGUGCAUCAUACAAGAUAAUAGAGAGAUUAAACAGUAUGUAAAUCAUAAAAUCCAAGUAGGUUGAUCAAAAUAGCGGAGUGCAUCUGAUUUUAUACGUGAUAAAAAAGUGUCUUUAAAACUUAAAGGUAAUUCUACCACACUGCUAUAAGACCGACAAUGCUUUAUGGUACAGAGUGUUGGGUGGCCAAAGAAAAACACGAACAUAAGUUAAAUGUGGCAGAGAUGAAGAUGUUGAGAUGGAUGAGUAGUCAUACGCGAUUAGAUAGAAUAAGGAAUGAAGUAAUAAGAGAGAGAGUUGGAGUAGCACCUAAUGUGGAAAAGGUGGUAGAAUCACGUCUCAAAUGGUUUGGACAUGUGAGAAGAAGACCGACAGAGCACCCAGUCAGGAGGGCGAAUGAGAUGGAAGAUGGAUAAGGGGUGAAAGACACAGGAAGACCUAAGAAGAUCAUCCAUGAGGUGGUCAAACGAGAUCGACACAUAAACGGUCUCUCUAUAGACGUGAUACAUAAUAGAACUCAAUAACGUUGUUUAAUUCAUAUAGCCGACUCCACCUAAUGGGACAAAGCUUUGUUGUUGUUUGUUUGUUUGUUGUUGUCGCGCAAUCAUAUCUGUCUUUUUGAAUGACCAUUCACGUAGUUAAUGAAAAUAAUAAUUCUUUUUAUAAUGUGACAUUAUGUGAUUGGAUGCACAUGUAAAACUUCUUUUAUACUGACAGACAUCAAAAUUAAAUCUAUUUAUUAGUACUUUUGCUAAAAGAAUACUAGAGAGUCAUCAAAAUUUAUUGUUUUUGACCAUUAAUUAACCAUCAAUGUUUAAAAGUGUGAGUUAAAAUAUAUUGUUGAAUUAAUAAACGAAAGAAAUUGAGUUAACGCUAAAAGUGAUGACAAAAAACAAUAAAUUCUGAUAUCCCUCUAGUAUUUCUCUUUUUGCUACCCAUGGAUUAGCGUUUUCCAUGGGGAAGGCGUGUUCCGCUUAGGCGCCUCCUAGUCAAUACACAAAAAAUAGAAGGUGCCACGGUGGCAAAAUGAUGGCACCUAAGUAAAUAGUUUGAAAUGUGACACUUAAAUAAAAAGUUUAGAAAUAGUGGCAUCUUGGAAAAAAAAAAA